GCCGGAGUGGUGAAACUGGUAGACGCACUGGACUCAAAAUCCAGCGAGGGCAACUUCGUGUCGGUUCGAUUCCGACCUCCGGCACCA
rnacentral:tRNA from 1 species